CCUACGGGAGGCAGCAGUGAGGAAUAUUGGUCAAUGGGCUUACGCCUGAACCAGCCAAGUCGCGUGAGGGAAGACUGCCCUAUGGGUUGUAAACCUCUUUUGUCAGGGAGCAACGCCGGCUACGUGUAGCCGGACUGAGCGUACCUGAAGAAAAAGCAUCGGCUAACUCCGUGCCAGCAGCCGCGGUAAUACGGAGGAUUCAAGCGUUAUCCGGAUUUAUUGGGUUUAAAGGGUGCGUAGGCGGUUGGAUAAGUUAGAGGUGAAAUCCCGAGGCUCAACUUCGGAAUUGCCUCUGAUACUGUUCGGCUAGAGAGUAGUUGCGGUAGGCGGAAUGUAUGGUGUAGCGGUGAAAUGCUUAGAUAUCACGCAGAACUCCGAUUGCGAAGGCAGCAUACCGGCGCCCAACUGACGCUGAAGCACGAAAGCGUGGGUAUCGAACAGGAUUAGAUACCCGAGUAGUC
rnacentral:rRNA from 1 species